rnacentral:sRNA from 1 species
AGACAAAGAAGAAGAAAAAAAACAAAGUGUUGUAUCCAAACGAUGAAGACAACAAA